UACGUAGGGUGCGAGCGUUGUCCGGAAUUAUUGGGCGUAAAGCGCGCGCAGGUGGUUUCUUAAGUCUGAUGUGAAAGCCCACGGCUCAACCGUGGAGGGUCAUUGGAAACUGGGAGACUUGAGUGCAGAAGAGGAAAGUGGAAUUCCAUGUGUAGCGGUGAAAUGCGUAGAGAUAUGGAGGAACACAGUGGCGAAGGCGACUUUCUGGUCUGCAACUGACACUGAGGCGCGAAAGCGUGGGGAGCAAACAGG
rnacentral:rRNA from 1 species